AUGCUGGGGCUCCUGAAGACCCGCGUCCCGAGGAAAGGGAAGUUGGAGACCGAGUCGGUCCCCGCACUGUGACGCUCCCGGCGGGGUAGCAGCGCAGAGACGAAAUGCUUCCAUAAAGGGGCCAGGAGAAAGUGGACAUUCACCUCUCCAUCUCAAACAAGUAUCCUUGUGCAAGCCUUCAAGAAGAACUGAUUUCCUGGCAUUGCAACCAGAGAAGAAUUGGCUUGUCAAACAGGAAUUCCAGAAUCUCAAGUCCAGAUGUGGUUUCAGAACUGAAGAGCUCUGCACCCAGAGCAGAGCAGAGGUGGGCCCGUGAAGGUACUGGCAGAAGGCCCCAAUGCCGGACUAGCUCUGACUGUUUCGUGGGACCAGAGCCACCUGUCCACUGCCCACAGUAGCUCUCAUCAUUUUCCUCCCUCCAGUCUGCUUGAGAGCAUCCAGUCCUUGGCCACAGCAGCUCCUUUUCUCUCCCCCACGUUCUUUGUUCCUCGUGUUCCCUCUGGGGGCAUGGGGGCUCGUCACUGAGGUCCAUGGUGGUGCAGCCCACUCCGCUGUGCAGGGAAGAGAGAAGCUGAACCUCUGGGAGCAGUUGCAAGUCACUCCUAAGCAGGACCAAAUCUGGGACUGGGUCUCCACCUGUUCACACAGCUCUCUGGCCUCCAUCCCAGGGAACAUGCCAGGAGAACAACCUGCACACUGGCCUGGCCGCACUCCCCCUCCAAGCCUGCCCUCAGCCUGACCUUGGCAAUCGUCAGCCGCACUUGCAGGAUCGGGCUCGGCCAUGCACAUCCCAAGCCAUGCAGUGGUGGCGCUAGGGGACCCAAGUUGUCAUCUCCAGAUGGGAGCCUCAGGAAUGGAGGAUUCUGCAGCCUGCACAGGCUGAGACACACGUCUGGCCACAGCAGGCACGCAGGUGAAGAGACAUCUCCUCCGCUGGACCAGCACCCAGCACUUGGAAGCUCAUCCAGCCUCUUAGAUGGACUCUUGUCAGCCUCAGACAUUCAGGGCAAGGCACAGCCUUUCCUGAAGGCGGAUGCACGGGGAGAGGAACCACCGGGAAUCCCGGAAGCAGCCCUCGGCAAGGAAGAUUUCAGGCUCUUCUCGACACGCUCCCAAGCUCACCAGGGCCUCAGACUUGGGAGGAGGAAGGAAACCUUCUCCCGAGCCCCUUCCAGGCCUUCUUUCCUGGGAUGCAGGGCCAUAAUGAUAAAAAGAAGGAACAAGCAACCCUUAGUGUUUGGGAGCAGCACCUAGGCAAGAAGACCCAUCCUUCACUUGAAACCCCUCUGUCCUAUUGGCGGCACUUUGUUGCCUCAGUGAGUGUUGCCCAGCUCCACACAAGCUCUUAGGAAGCAUGGACACCAGGAGGGGCGCCCUUCCUGAAGCCUUAAGGAAAUCUAGCAUUGUAAUGACAAAGGUGACCCAACUCUUCUGUCUGCGCCAUCCCUGAACUGGAAUCAAAACAAGUCAAGGAGAUUAGGUAGAAGAAGGACUCAUUCACACACGUUACCUUCCUGGCAAGAUGGGAAGGUAUAUCUGAAGUGUGCUUGGUGUAUAGAAGAGGAGGGGAUGUGACAUGGCUCAAACAUGUGGGUCCAGGAACGUGAGCUCUUAUCAUGGCUGUGAAUGUCGGCUCUGGCGACUGGAAGCAACUUAAGCCUCUAACUAGCGAGGAUUGCUUCAAAGCUUCAGUCCUUCAUACAGUGGAGACGUUGCAUAUUAUUUGCCCCGGGAACAUUUGCAAUAUAAAAAAUGGCGGGGAAAGGUACAAUAGCAUCUCUAACCCAUGACUCAGGAAAGGAUAGGAACUUUGCUCUUUCCAUCAUUUUAGCAUGUUUGUAUGUAUGGGCCUGUAUAUGUACCUGUACUUUUUCCAUGUGGAUUUUGAAAAAAGUCUGUGUUCUGAGGCUCUUCCAUCAACAGGACCUGCUGCCUUCCUUUGAAAAGUGUGCCUUGGGGGCUUCCCUGGUGGCGCAGUGGUUGAGAGUCCGCCUGCCGAUGCAGGGGACAUGGGUUCAUGCCCCGGUCCGGGAAGAUCCCACAUGCCGCGGAGCGGCUGGGCCCGUGAGCCAUGGCCGCUGAGCCUGCGUGUCCGGAGCCUGUGCUCCGCAACAGGAGAGGCCACAACAGUGACAGGGCCACGUACCGCAAAAAAAAAAAAAAAAAAAAAAGUGUGCCUUGGAUUUUCAGGUUGUAUGUGACAUUCCACUGAUUCAACACAUAUGUCUUUGAACUCAGUCU